GAUUAAGUUAUUAAGGGCGCACGGUGGAUGCCUUGGCACUAGAAGCCGAUGAAGGACGUUACUAACGACGAUAUGCUUUGGGGAGCUGUAAGUAAGCUUUGAUCCAGAGAUUUCCGAAUGGGGAAACCCAGCAUGAGUUAUGUCAUGUUAUCGAUAUGUGAAUACAUAGCAUAUCAGAAGGCACACCCGGAGAACUGAAACAUCUUAGUACCCGGAGGAAGAGAAAGAAAAUUCGAUUCCCUUAGUAGCGGCGAGCGAAACGGGAAGAGCCCAAACCAACAAGCUUGCUUGUUGGGGUUGUAGGACACUCUAUACGGAGUUACAAAGGACGACAUUAGACGAAUCAUCUGGAAAGAUGAAUCAAAGAAGGUAAUAAUCCUGUAGUCGAAAAUGUUGUCUCUCUUGAGUGGAUCCUGAGUACGACGGAGCACGUGAAAUUCCGUCGGAAUCUGGGAGGACCAUCUCCUAAGGCUAAAUACUCUCUAGUGACCGAUAGUGAACCAGUACCGUGAGGGAAAGGUGAAAAGCACCCCGGAAGGGGAGUGAAAUAGAACCUGAAACCGUGUGCUUACAAGUAGUCAGAGCCCGUUAAUGGGUGAUGGCGUGCCUUUUGUAGAAUGAACCGGCGAGUUACGAUUUGAUGCAAGGUUAAGCAGUAAAUGUGGAGCCGUAGCGAAAGCGAGUCUGAAUAGGGCGUUUAGUAUUUGGUCGUAGACCCGAAACCAGGUGAUCUACCCUUGGUCAGGUUGAAGUUCAGGUAACACUGAAUGGAGGACCGAACCGACUUACGUUGAAAAGUGAGCGGAUGAACUGAGGGUAGCGGAGAAAUUCCAAUCGAACCUGGAGAUAGCUGGUUCUCUCCGAAAUAGCUUUAGGGCUAGCCUCAAGUGAUGAUUAUUGGAGGUAGAGCACUGUUUGGACGAGGGGCCCCUCUCGGGUUACCGAAUUCAGACAAACUCCGAAUGCCAAUUAAUUUAACUUGGGAGUCAGAACAUGGGUGAUAAGGUCCGUGUUCGAAAGGGAAACAGCCCAGACCACCAGCUAAGGUCCCAAAAUAUAUGUUAAGUGGAAAAGGAUGUGGCGUUGCCCAGACAACUAGGAUGUUGGCUUAGAAGCAGCCAUCAUUUAAAGAGUGCGUAAUAGCUCACUAGUCGAGUGACACUGCGCCGAAAAUGUACCGGGGCUAAACAUAUUACCGAAGCUGUGGAUUGUCCUUUGGACAAUGGUAGGAGAGCGUUCUAAGGGCGUUGAAGCAUGAUCGUAAGGACAUGUGGAGCGCUUAGAAGUGAGAAUGCCGGUGUGAGUAGCGAAAGACGGGUGAGAAUCCCGUCCACCGAUUGACUAAGGUUUCCAGAGGAAGGCUCGUCCGCUCUGGGUUAGUCGGGUCCUAAGCUGAGGCCGACAGGCGUAGGCGAUGGAUAACAGGUUGAUAUUCCUGUACCACCUAUAAUCGUUUUAAUCGAUGGGGGGACGCAGUAGGAUAGGCGAAGCGUGCGAUUGGAUUGCACGUCUAAGCAGUAAGGCUGAGUAUUAGGCAAAUCCGGUACUCGUUAAGGCUGAGCUGUGAUGGGGAGAAGACAUUGUGUCUUCGAGUCGUUGAUUUCACACUGCCGAGAAAAGCCUCUAGAUAGAAAAUAGGUGCCCGUACCGCAAACCGACACAGGUAGUCAAGAUGAGAAUUCUAAGGUGAGCGAGCGAACUCUCGUUAAGGAACUCGGCAAAAUGACCCCGUAACUUCGGGAGAAGGGGUGCUCUUUAGGGUUAACGCCCAGAAGAGCCGCAGUGAAUAGGCCCAAGCGACUGUUUAUCAAAAACACAGGUCUCUGCUAAACCGUAAGGUGAUGUAUAGGGGCUGACGCCUGCCCGGUGCUGGAAGGUUAAGAGGAGUGGUUAGCUUCUGCGAAGCUACGAAUCGAAGCCCCAGUAAACGGCGGCCGUAACUAUAACGGUCCUAAGGUAGCGAAAUUCCUUGUCGGGUAAGUUCCGACCCGCACGAAAGGCGUAACGAUUUGGGCACUGUCUCAACGAGAGACUCGGUGAAAUCAUAGUACCUGUGAAGAUGCAGGUUACCCGCGACAGGACGGAAAGACCCCGUGGAGCUUUACUGUAGCCUGAUAUUGAAAUUCGGCACAGCUUGUACAGGAUAGGUAGGAGCCUUUGAAACGUGAGCACUAGCUUACGUGGAGGCGCUGGUGGGAUACUACCCUAGCUGUGUUGGCUUUCUAACCCGCACCACUUAUCGUGGUGGGAGACAGUGUCAGGCGGGCAGUUUGACUGGGGCGGUCGCCUCCUAAAAGGUAACGGAGGCGCUCAAAGGUUCCCUCAGAAUGGUUGGAAAUCAUUCAUAGAGUGUAAAGGCAUAAGGGAGCUUGACUGCGAGACCUACAAGUCGAGCAGGGUCGAAAGACGGACUUAGUGAUCCGGUGGUUCCGCAUGGAAGGGCCAUCGCUCAACGGAUAAAAGCUACCCCGGGGAUAACAGGCUUAUCUCCCCCAAGAGUUCACAUCGACGGGGAGGUUUGGCACCUCGAUGUCGGCUCAUCGCAUCCUGGGGCUGUAGUCGGUCCCAAGGGUUGGGCUGUUCGCCCAUUAAAGCGGUACGCGAGCUGGGUUCAGAACGUCGUGAGACAGUUCGGUCCCUAUCCGUCGUGGGCGUAGGAAAUUUGAGAGGAGCUGUCCUUAGUACGAGAGGACCGGGAUGGACAUACCUCUGGUGUACCAGUUGUCGUGCCAACGGCAUAGCUGGGUAGCUAUGUGUGGACGGGAUAAGUGCUGAAAGCAUCUAAGCAUGAAGCCCCCCUCAAGAUGAGAUUUCCCAACUUCGGUUAUAAGAUCCCUCAAAGAUGAUGAGGUUAAUAGGUUCGAGGUGGAAGCGUGGUGACAUGUGGAGCUGACGAAUACUAAUCGAUCGAAGACUUAAUCAA
rnacentral:rRNA from 1 species